GCUGGGCAUGGUGGCUCAUGCCUGUAAUCCCAGCACUUUGGGAGGCUGAGGCGGGUGGAUCACCUGAGGUCAGGAGUUCCAGACCAGCCUGGCCAACAUGGCGAAACCCUGUCUCUA
rnacentral:SRP_RNA from 1 species